rnacentral:rRNA from 1 species
CCAAAGUUAGUGGCGAACGGGUGAGUAAUAUAUCGGAACAUAUCCGGAAGUGGGGGAUAACUAGUCGAAAGAUUAGCUAAUACCGCAUAUGCCCUGAGGGGGAAAGGGGGGGAUCGCAAGACCUCCCGCUUUCGGAGUGGCCGAUACCGGAUUAGCUAGAUGGUGAGGUAAAGGCUCACCAUGGCGACGAUCCGUAGCUGGUCUGAGAGGACGACCAGCCACACUGGAACUGAGACACGGUCCAGACUCC